AAAUCCUUUGGGGUGCACGGGAGGAAGCUCUGGUUUCAAACACCAAUGUCUUGGAAAUUGAAGACCAAAAUAGAGAGUGUGACUCUUACUUGAGAUUGCAAGGGAAAUUGAAGACCAAAAUAAUGAGAAUGCUUGGAAAUUGCCUACCCGUGAACUGGAAAUGCAACACCAAUGUCUUCAAUGGCCCAACCCUUUCUAAAUGAGGACGCUGACUUCAAUUUAUGUCCACCGUUGAAGAAAAAUGAGAACCUCUUGAUUGAACUUCAAAGAAAUAUGCCAAGGAAGAGUCACCAAAGAUGAAUGAGUUCACACCACAUGCAGUAGUGGCGAUGAAAGUCCUUUGGGAGGCACGAGAGGAAGUGCUACUUUUCUUGCAAACGCUAAACAAGUAUGUGUCUUACUGUUUUGAUGCAUCAUGUGAUCAAAAUAAUGUAGGCUCAGCUGCGGUUCUCAGAGAUCAAGACUGGAAUGCCAUUGGCCAAAGAGGAGAGUUUUGAACAAGUUGUGAUAGAGGGUAUAACGAGUGGCUGCAAAGGUUCUUCCCUUCGAGUGAGAGAUGGUCGGACGCUCUGAAACCCAAAAUGCCUAUUAUUGCCCCCCUUGUAAGAUAGUAGAAGAUUCAGUCUUUCAUCUAUUUCAAUGUUGUCCCUAUGCCAAAGGAGGUAUGGUGGUAGAUGGGGUUUUCGAGUUGAAAUGAUCCAAGCUAAAUCUGUAAAGGAGUUCAUUGAACAAAUAGUUCACCCCCCAAAGGAAUUAUUAGCAGAAAGAGUCACCAAAGAUGAAUUCACACUGUAUGUAGUAGUGGCAAUGAAAAUCAUUUGGGAUGCAUGGGAGGAAGCACUAGUUUCAAACACUAAAGCAAGCAUAAAUCAGCUAGCCCAUCGUCUUAACACAUAGUAUGACUCUAACUUGAGAUCACUUGGGACUACGAGGGGAAUUGAAGAGCAAAACAGGAAAAGUGCUUGGACCAAACCACUUGAUCAACUGGUAAAGCUUAACUUUGAUGCAUCAUGGGAUCAAAAUAAUGUAGGCUUGGCUGUGGUCUUCAGAAAUCAAGAGGGGAAUGGCAGAGCAAUCAGACAUGGGAUAAGCCUCUGCAGUAAGAUGGGAAAUGCCAUUGGCAAAUGAGGAGAGACUUGAACAAGUUGUGUUAGAGGGUAUAAAGGAAAGCACCUCAAGUAUUUGAUAAAAUGUUACUAUGGAUAUAUAUAAUGGUAAAAUGCAGUACAGAUUGCACAAUUGGAUUGCUAUUUCUCUUCCUGUUUUAUAGUCCAAUGAAUCUAUGCUAGAGUUAAUCUUUAUACUGUUAGCUGGUUGUUGAGGAUUUAUCUUUUAAAUUGUAGCUAACAUCAUCAACUUCAUUGCAAAUCCAGCUUGCAAGCUCAGUUGGGAAUGGAAGAGCAUAAUGAAGGAUAUUUGGCUUUGGCUUCUUUUUUCAGAUAAUAAUGUAGUGCACAGACUCAUAAAAUGGGCACUGGGGUCUAAUGACUCUAGUCUAUAUUGUUGCUUGUAUACGUUCCCCCAACAGUAAAGAGGGCCUUGGCCUUUGACUCUGCAUUUGGGACGCUGACUUUUUACCAAGUCUACUGCUGAAGAAAUAAGAACUUCUUCAUUCAAAUUCAAAGAAAUAUGAAAAGAUAUGUCUUACCCCAGUGUCUCACAAUCAGAGAUCCCUAGCCAAGGCAUGAUCAACUAUCAUGUAUUUCAUAGAAUAAGCCAAAGUUGUCUACCAGCUAGAGGCAGACCUUUUGCAAUUGCCAACACCACGAUUAUGACUAGCAGUGACAGUACCAACAAGUGCAUUGAAAUAUGUUGGUGCUGCCCAUCUCUCAAAACGUCCACCCUGAUGUCUCCACUCUUUGGGGAGAACUUUUCAAAUUGCCUGGAUUGCUUUAAGUUAUAGACAGCAGAAACAGCAACAACUAGAAUGACAGCAACAAUAAUUCCACCAUGAUAAUCGUAUGCUGUUUGAUUCCGAAGGCAGAGAGAUUAUAGCAGAGGCCAAAAGUACAAUAACAGUGGUUGCCUCAAGCGCUUUAAAGACAACUGAGAAGGCCUUUCGUUGGUUCUUUCUGGUUCCAAGAACCACAGCCAGUGCUUUUACUCCAUACUGACUCAAAGCCUCACUGAGCCACUUCAGAUCAACACUGAGAAGGGCAAUGGAUUUGUUAUGCAAGCAACCCUCAUCAACAGGCUGAACAUCAAUGGUCUUGGUCAAUUGGUGCUCUAUAUGUGAAAGAUCAGUUGUAAAUCAGUACACCAUCUUUGGUUCAAUGCUUAGUAGGUCAUGAUUUUUGGUCCUUUCUUCUGUUGCUUUUGGGUUACAUUGGUUGAUGCCAAGAAUUGAUAGAUGUUAUUGCUGCUGGAAAGGUACAUAUAAUCAGAACAUAAGUAGCAUCUGGCAGUUCCUCACUGUCUUAUGCGGACAAUUUGGAGGGACUUGAAUAACUGAACAUUUGAAGUCAUGGAGAAACAAGUUAAAGCGACCAAAAUCUAGUUCCUGAAUCUGCAAAUUGAAUGUUGUACAAUGAAUUUUUUGGGGACCAUUUAAAUUUAUGAUUGUAAUUCUUUAAGAGGCUCUACAUUUUGAACA